UCUCUUCAGAAAUGCAUGUGAUUGACGGCAUCUCUGAAUAAAGAAACCUGCUUCUUCUCAUCUGCUGACUGAGAUCUCCUUCAUUUCAGCUAAGUAUUUGAUAGUUUAUUGACUUUAUUUGGUAAGAUUAUUGAAAUAAUAGAAAUUGGUACAAUUAAAGAUUCCACACUGUGAUAUGUCCACUCGGAGGGGACUCUGAGUUCCGACACUCUCUGCACGUACCUUUACCUUCCUGUCUGUGGUAUUCUACAGUGCUACUGCUGAGAUACAAGCACACACAUCCUUCUUUACAAGUUCUAAUGUUUAGUUUGGUUUCUCUGUUUCUAGGCAGUGGACAUUAAGGGAUACUUCCUCGGGAUGAUAAGGGGUCCUGAGAGUCGUUUUUGCUGAUUUAAAACCACACGCUACUUCGACCAGCUGGGAUUCCCUUAUCAGAUCACCAUUGAGGACCAGUUCACUGCCAGGGUGAAUAUGGGAAGGUUACAUAGCUCAUUUCCUGUAACCGGGUGGAAACCAUCAUCGAGCCACUUAAGGAUUAUGUGCUCAGUUCAGUUCUCUGUUGAGAUACCUGACUGCCUGAGGGAAGAAGCUGUUCAACAGUCUGGUUGUACAGAUCCAACCG